CGGGUGAGUAAUAUAUCGGAACGUACCAUUCAGUGGGGGAUAACGUAGCGAAAGUUACGCUAAUACCGCAUAUUCUGUGAGCAGGAAAGCAGGGGAUCGCAAGACCUUGCGCUGAUUGAGCGGCCGAUAUCAGAUUAGCUUGUUGGUGAGGUAAAAGCUCACCAAGGCGACGAUCUGUAGCGGGUCUGAGAGGAUGAUCCGCCACACUGGAACUGAGACACGGUCCAGACUCCUACGGGAGGCAGCAGUGGGGAAUUUCGGACAAUGGGGGCAACCCUGAUCCAGCCAUGCCGCGUGAGUGAAGAAGGCCUUCGGGUUGUAAAGCUCUUUCAGCCGGGAAGAAAACGCAUGGGUUAAUACCCUGUGUGGAUGACGGUACCGGAAUAAGAAGCACCGGCUAACUACGUGCCAGCAGCCGCGGUAAUACGUAGGGUGCGAGCGUUAAUCGGAAUUACUGGGCGUAAAGCGUGCGCAGGCGGUUUUGUAAGACAGGCGUGAAAUCCCCGGGCUUAACCUGGGAACUGCGUUUGUGACUGCAAGGCUAGAGUACGGCAGAGGGGGGUGGAAUUCCACGUGUAGCAGUGAAAUGCGUAGAGAUGUGGAGGAACACCAAUGGCGAAGGCAGCCCCCUGGGUCGAUACUGACGCUCAUGCACGAAAGCGUGGGUAGCAAACAGGAUUAGAUACCCUGGUAGUCCACGCCCUAAACGAUGACAACUAGGUGUUGGGAGGGUAAAACCUUUUAGUACCGGAGCUAACGCGUGAAGUUGACCGCCUGGGGAGUACGGCCGCAAGGUUAAAACUCAAAGGAAUUGACGGGGACCCGCACAAGCGGUGGAUGAUGUGGAUUAAUUCGAUGCAACGCGAAAAACCUUACCUACCCUUGACAUGCCAAGAACUUUCCAGAGAUGGAUUGGUGCCCGAAAGGGAACUUGGACACAGGUGCUGCAUGGCUGUCGUCAGCUCGUGUCGUGAGAUGUUGGGUUAAGUCCCGCAACGAGCGCAACCCUUGUCGUUAAUUGCCAUCAUUUAGUUGGGCACUUUAACGAGACUGCCGGUGACAAACCGGAGGAAGGUGGGGAUGACGUCAAGUCCUCAUGGCCCUUAUGGGUAGGGCUUCACACGUCAUACAAUGGUCGGUACAAAGGGUCGCCAAGCCGCGAGGUGGAGCCAAUCCCAGAAAGCCGAUCGUAGUCCGGAUCGCAGUCUGCAACUCGACUGCGUGAAGUCGGAAUCGCUAGUAAUCGUGGAUCAGAAUGUCACGGUGAAUACGUUCCCGGGUCUUGUACACACCGCCCGUCACACCAUGGGAGCGGGUUCCGCCAGAAGUAGGUAGCCUAACCGCAA
rnacentral:rRNA from 1 species